rnacentral:lncRNA from 1 species
GGACCAACGAACUGACGGUGUACACUGAAAGAGAACGGAUUAACUGAUCUGAAUCAGCUGGAAAAUAUCCUCCGCGUAGUCGAUCUGAAACCCUGGAAAGGAAAGAGGAUGGAUUAAAGUAGAUAAAGCCAAUCAUUGCUGCACCGAACAACCUGCAGAGUACAGAACGCCAACGAGAGGACGCGCCGGCCAGACUGAAGCACAGUAAUGGGAGAUGGGGGUAUACCUAGCCCGGAUCCGCCGCCGAGUAACCCAGGCACCUUGCCCGGCGAGGAGAAGCUUGAACGCCGGUGAGAAGAGACGAGAAGGGAUCGGAGGAAUCGGAUCAGUGGGCUGGGGGAAAAGGAUGCCCGCCUGCUUAAUACUAGUCCCAACA